UACGUAGGGGGCAAGCGUUGUCCGGAAUCACUGGGCGUAAAGCGCGCGCAGGCGGUCAUCUACGUCUGGGGUGAAAGCCCGGAGCUCAACUCCGGGAUUGCCUUGGAUACGGGAUGACUUGAGGAUCGGAGAGGCAAGGGGAAUUCCACGUGUAGCGGUGAAGUGCGUAGAGAUGUGGAGGAACACCUGUGGCGAAGGCGAGUCUCUGGGCCGAUACUGACGCUGAGACGCGAAAGCGUGGGGAGCGAACAGG
rnacentral:rRNA from 1 species